AUUCUGUUGAGCUUAUUGUGGAAUAUGAGCUGUUGGUCUAAACCUAAUUUGUGCCAAAUUGAAUUCCAAUAUUCCUAGCAAUUCUUGUCAGGAACAUCUGGUUCUUUGGGUAUUCACCAGGAAAAACCAUGAUGGCAUUGGAAAGUGAGGCUGAAGGACAGAGGGUGUUGAAGCAAACAGCACAGAAGACCAAUCUUCCUGCUCAGCCACAGCACAUUCCUGAGCAUGCUGUGGAAAUCACUGCUCAGAGCCUAGAACCCAGUAGGAGCUGUGUUCCUGGCUGCACCAGCUAGCAGGACAUCCAAGGUGCAAGUGGUGAAAGAAAUCAUUGCCUCAGGACCAGGCAUCUCUUUGGGGCCUUGUACGAGAAGAGCCCAAAGCUAGGACAUUUCGAUGGAUACCCCUCAGCCAGAAAACAAAUGCCAAUGGGCCCUGGCUUUUGUAUAUGAAGAUUUAGAAGAACUGAACCCCUCUGAGGUGGACAAUGUAAUCAUAGCAGCCUCAGAGCCCCAGCCAAGACAUUGCUUCUCCUGCUGCUCUUGCUGCUCCUGCUGUUCUGACUGCUCCUGCUGUUCUGGUUUCCCUUGAAUAAUUAUUUUCCGAUUUUCCCUGGCUCUAUUACUUCUUAUAAUUAUCUUGAUAGUAUAUAUACUCUUCCUGAAACCCUCUACAGGCUCAACACCAAAACCAUGACAUCCUUGCAUGUAUCCCCAGACUUGAUACAAAUUAGAGACUGGCAAAGACUGGUUUCUGGAUCCUGCUUCUGCUCUUACCACUUAAAUGAAGUUAGAGCAGCUCCAAUCACUCGAUAUACUGUCAUAUUUUCUGCCUUCUGUAAGGUACAUGAGUUUUCAUCUUUCAGUACAAAUCUCCUCCAUGACCAACUCAGAGAGUAACCAAGGCCCUGACAAGUUUUGCCUGUGGCUUGUGAAGAAUGCCUGUCUUCAGAUCUGCCUGGCCAUCAAGUCUGGUGAAGCCUGAAAUAGCUUCUCUUAUCUGCUACCUUCCCUCAGUCCUCUUCCUAGAGGAGGAAUUUCUCAGGACACCACUUACAAUUGCAUAGAAACAAGAAUGGACCCAAAGAAGAAAUGUGAGAAGACAAUCAAUCCCACACUACUCCUUUAGAGAGGUGGGAGGGCAACUGGUGUGGCACCUUGCUUUUCUGCAAUGUGUUGAUCAGUUUGGCUGAUUUUUCUCCUCUUCCCAUUUUUUCCCUCUGUAAUAAAUAUUAUUUGUUACAUGGAAUGGCUCUGUUUUACAUGAUGGUGGAAGAAUAAUAUGAGAAAUUCUGGUUAGGGAAAAAACAAAUCAAUAAAAAUUUAUUUUAAGACUACUAAAAAAAGCAAGCUGUGCAUGAUAGAUAUUUGUGUUUUCAUAUAAACAAAUAUUUAGACUCUUGACUACUUGUCCAAUUGCUGACACCACAUGUAAUCUAGACAUAUCCAGCAUUUUCCCUGCUUCUCUA